CUACGUUUGAGGAAUUGAGAGGUUUAAUAUUAAAAGAAAACAAACAACAAGAUAUCUACAGCGUGGCAAUUCAGAAGAAGCAGAUAGUUCUUUGUUGAACCAAAUGUGGAGCCAAGCCUUCUUAUCUGGGGAAGUGAGCAAGUUAAAUUUUUGUUACAGUGAGAGCAUGAUUCUUGCUUUCCAUCACAUGCUGCUUAUUUCAUUUUCCCUUCAGGAGCCUGUAACAUGCUCUGGGCACUAUGGAAAUAACAAUUCUUUCUGUGCAACAGAAGCACAUUCCUUUCUUUACAUGUAAUUAUCUGUUAGCAAUAACUUACAGUUUUCUGCCUGGGUCUGAGUUCUGGCUUUAUAACCGCAGCUCGUUGAAGAGAUGAAAUAGCACAUAGACAAUAAAUACAGCUAUCUAGGAGUUAGAAACAUUUGGGAAAUCACUGAGAAAUUUCUUUUCUACAAGGAUAUUUUCUUAAUAAUCCUGAUUGCCGUAACAAAUCACAAAUGUGACAUCUUAGUGUGGGAUUGAAUAGAACUCUAAAUCAUAUGGCUGAAUCCCUUGUUCCUGGAGUUCACGCCAGAGCCUGCACUACAGUGCAGGCUGAAUCAAGCAGCCCCACGCCUUUCCUUUGUUUGCCUGAUUUCCAUCAUGGCAGUUCUGCCGUGAACUCACUGCAGCUGCUCACAUCUUAGCAGAGGUUGCAUUAAGUUCAGCCAUUUCCAAGGGAAAUAGUGGAGAGGGGAGAUGGACGGAGAAUGCCCAUAGCUCAGACACACGCUUUGAAUUGCAUGGAAACUCAUCGAUAACUUCUUGCUACUAGUUUUUCCUCAGGACAAAUAUGGACGAAGUGCUUUAGAAUCCAGUUUUGUUGGAGAGAAGGAGAUGUAACAAUGCACUCCAACUAGAUUCUCACCCCUGUAUAAUUUACAUAUUUUCAUUAAAACCAGAAGAUGAAGAUUCAUCCAUUUGUUUAAAACUCAUUGUGUUUGGGAGUAGUUAAUUAAGCUUGUGAGAAUUUGAAGAGUGCAAACUUGGCUAUGAAGGACUGUGAGAUUUCAACCACCCCUGAUGCUGCCUUGCAGCCUGGUUGAAGGUGUGCAGGAUUUAGGUGCUAUUUUCAUGUGAUAGAGGGGUGCUUCUCACAUAGGUUGUCCUGACAGAAGACUUCGGCAACAUUUUUCCUUCACUGCUUGCAUGCAGGGCCCUGGUCUGAUGCAGCUCCAUAUAAAUUGUUAAUGUUACUGGAGCUGUUCCAACUGGAAUCUCUGGUUAGCAGAAAGUACAGCCAUCCUGACCUGUGAUUACACGAAAGGCUGAAAUGAAGUGAUCCCCCCCCUCCCU
ensembl:lncRNA